CCUACGGGUGGCUGCAGUGAGGAAUAUUGGUCAAUGGGCGCUAGCCUGAACCAGCCAAGUAGCGUGAAGGAUGACUGCCCUAUGGGUUGUAAACUUCUUUUAUAUGGGAAUAAAGUGCAGUAUGUAUACUGCUUUGCAUGUACCUUAUGAAUAAGGAUCGGCUAACUCCGUGCCAGCAGCCGCGGUAAUACGGAGGAUCCGAGCGUUAUCCGGAUUUAUUGGGUUUAAGGGGAGCGUAGGCGGGUUGUUAAGUCAGUUGUGAAAGUUUGCGGCUCAACCGUAAAAUUGCAGUUGAUACUGGCAACAUUGAGUACAGUGGAGGUAGGCGAAAUUCGUGGUGUAGCGGUGAAAUGCUUAGAUAUCACGAAGAACUCCGAUUGCGAAGGCGACCUGCUAGAACAUAACUGACGCUGAUGCGCGAAAGCGUGGGGAGCAAACAGGAUUAGAUACCCUUGUAGUC
rnacentral:rRNA from 1 species